rnacentral:tRNA from 1 species
AGCUCGGUGGUGCAGGUGGUAGAGCACGCCCGCGUCACAUGUGGGAGAUCCCAGUUCGAUCCUGGGCCGAGCUC